rnacentral:rRNA from 1 species
GUCCUACGGGAGGCAGCAGUGAGGAAUAUUGGUCAAUGGGCGGGAGCCUGAACCAGCCAAGCCGCGUGAAGGAAGAAGGCGCCAAGCGUCGUAAACUUCUUUUGUCGGGGAACAAAGGGCGCCACGUGUGGCGUUGUGAGUGUACCCGAAGAAAAAGCAUCGGCUAACUCCGUGCCAGCAGCCGCGGUAAUACGGAGGAUGCGAGCGUUAUCCGGAUUUAUUGGGUUUAAAGGGUGCGUAGGCGGAUUUGUAAGUCAGCGGUAAAAAUGCGGUGCUCAACGCCGUAUCGCCGUUGAAACUGCGGG